CAGGGAGACAAACAAUAGAUUGUGAUGUCUAAGUUAACUAUUCUUAGGCCAUAAUCCUGUCACCUUAGGUCGAUCGGUACCUCAGAUUUAUAACUAGGCUAAUAAUUAGUUUGGUCUUUGAAUUUCAGUUCCUAAACUUGUCUAGGUCACACCCAACAAGGGUUCUCCUGGGCCAUUAGCUCAGGUGGUUAGAGCGCACCCCUGAUAAGGGUGAGGUCCCUGGUUCAAGUCCAGGAUGGCCCAUUCGGUUUUGGGGGUAUAGCUCAGUUGGUAGAGCGCCUGCUUUGCAAGCAGGAUGUCAGCGGUUCGAGUCCGCUUACCUCCACUGAUCGACCUCUAAUAUCGUCUCUGAGGAGAUAAUCUUUAAUUGAUGUGACUUAGACCUGUUCACUGAUGAACCUAGCUUCUUAUCAUCCCUAAUCUCAAAUGUAUAGAGGUUGAUAUGACGCUGGGCUCUCAUAAACAUAUUUUAUGUUUAUGGAAAGUUCAGUAGAACCUUGACAACUGCAUAGGUAAGUUUGAAAAGAAUAAAGCAUCUCAUGGAUGCAUUAAUCUGGCAGCCUUUUAAAAGGUUCAAAGAUUAAUGUCUAAUUCUUGAGCAAUAAGAGCCAAGACUCUUUAUUCUGUAUUUAAUGAUUUAUCUCAUUAAAUAUUUUUAAAUUCGUUUAUUCUUUAAACGAAUUUUAAAAGUGUUUUAAACAUCAUUUUAAAGAGAUUUAAU
rnacentral:tRNA from 1 species